UGUUAAAAAUAAAAUAAUACUGGUCGCACAAUACUCCUUCCCCAAAAAGGAGACUUGACAGAUCCCCAAAACUCCUGCACUAUCACAUGUUUGAACACACAAUAUAUAAUAUUCACAGUGUGUCUGACAAACCUCGUGUCAUCCUACUGCUCUUUCAAUGACAUAAUUUACAGAGAG